GAUGAACGCUGGCGGCGUGCCUAAUACAUGCAAGUCGAGCGAACGGGCGAGAAGCUUGCUUCUCUGAUGUUAGCGGCGGACGGGUGAGUAACACGUGGAUAACCUACCUAUAAGACUGGGAUAACUUCGGGAAACCGGAGCUAAUACCGGAUGAUAUUUUGAACCGCAUGGUUCAAAAGUGAAAGACGGUCUUGCUGUCACUUAUAGAUGGAUCCGCGCUGCAUUAGCUAGUUGGUAAGGUAACGGCUUACCAAGGCAACGAUGCAUAGCCGACCUGAGAGGGUGAUCGGCCACACUGGAACUGAGACACGGUCCAGACUCCUACGGGAGGCAGCAGUAGGGAAUCUUCCGCAAUGGGCGAAAGCCUGACGGAGCAACGCCGCGUGAGUGAUGAAGGUCUUCGGAUCGUAAAACUCUGUUAUUAGGGAAGAACAUAUGUGCAAGUAACUGUGCACAUCUUGACGGUACCUAAUCAGAAAGCCACGGCUAACUACGUG
rnacentral:rRNA from 1 species